UACGUAGGCGGUCGGCAAAGUCUGAUGUGAAAUCUCCGGGCUCAACCCGGAAACUGCAUCGGAUACUGGUCGGCUAGAGGAUUGGAGGGGGGACUGGAAUUCUCGGUGUAGCAGUGAAAUGCGUAGAUAUCGAGAGGAACACCAGUAGCGAAGGCGAGUCCCUGGACAAUUCCUGACGCUGAGGCACGAAAGCUAGGGGAGCAAACAGGAUUAGAUACCCUGGUAGUCC
rnacentral:rRNA from 1 species